rnacentral:rRNA from 1 species
CCUACGGGAGGCAGCAGUGAGGAAUAUUGGUCAAUGGACGCAAGUCUGAACCAGCCAUGUCGCGUGCAGGAAGACGGCUCUAUGAGUUGUAAACUGCUUUUGUACGAGGGUAAACGCAGAUACGUGUAUCUGUCUGAAAGUAUCGUACGAAUAAGGAUCGGCUAACUCCGUGCCAGCAGCCGCGGUAAUACGGAGGAUUCAAGCGUUAUCCGGAUUUAUUGGGUUUAAAGGGUGCGUAGGCGGUCGGAUAAGUUAGAGGUGAAAUCUCGGGGCUCAACUUCGGCAUUGCCUCUGAUACUGUGCGGCUAGAGAGUAGUGGCGGUAGGCGGAAUGUAUGGUGUAGCGGUGAAAUGCUUAGAGAUCAUACAGAACACCGAUUGCGAAGGCAGCUUACCAAGGUACUUCUGACGUUGAGGCACGAAAGCGUGGGGAGCAAACAGGAUUAGAUACCCUUGUAGUC